UCGUGACUGCGUGCCUUUUGAAGAAUGAGCCUGCGAGUUUGCGGUGUGUUGCGAGGUUAACCCGUGUGGGGAAGCCGUAGCGAAAGCGAGUCCGAACAGGGCGGUGUAGUAGCGCGCUCAAGACCCGAAGCGGAGUGAUCUAGCCAUGGGCAGGUUGAAGCGGCUGUAAGAGGUCGUGGAGGACCGAACCCACCAGGGUUGAAAACCUGGGGGAUGACCUGUGGUUAGGGGUGAAAGGCCAAUCAAACUCCGUGAUAGCUGGUUCUCCCCGAAAUGCAUUUAGGUGCAGCGUCGUGUGUUUCUUGCCGGAGGUAGAGCACUGGAUAGGCGAUGGGCCCUACCGGGUUACUGACCUUAGCCAAACUCCGAAUGCCGGUAAGUGAGAGCGCGGCAGUGAGACUGUGGGGGAUAAGCUCCAUGGUCGAGAGGGAAACAGCCCAGAGCAUCGACUAAGGCCCCUAAGCGUACGCUAAGUGGGAAAGGAUGUGGAGUCGCACAGACAACCAGGAGGUUGGCUUAGAAGCAGCCACCCUUGAAAGAGUGCGUAAUAGCUCACUGGUCUAGUGAUUCCGCGCCGACAAUGUAGCGGGGCUCAAGCGUACCGCCGAAGUCGUGUCAUUCCAGCAUAUACGCCCAACGGUGGCUGGGAUGGGUAGGGGAGCGUCGUCUGCCGGGUGAAGCAGCCGCGGAAGCGAGUUGUGGACGGUUGACGAGUGAGAAUGCAGGCAUGAGUAGCGAUUCACACGUGAGAAACGUGUGCGCCGAUUGACUAAGGGUUCCUGGGUCAAGCUGAUCUGCCCAGGGUAAGUCGGGACCUAAGGCGAGGCCGACAGGCGUAGUCGAUGGAUAACCGGUUGAUAUUCCGGUACCCGCUGUGAAGCGUCAAACAUCGAACCCAUUAAUGCUAAGGCCGUGAAGCCGUUCCGGACCCUUCGGGGAAAGGAAAGUGGUGGAGCCGCUGACCCAAGGUGGUAGUAGGUGAGUGAUGGGGUGACGCAGGAAGGUAGUCCAGCCCGGGCGGUGGUUGUCCCGGGGUAAGGGUGUAGCCCGAGUGGUAGGCAAAUCCGCCACUCAUAUGGGGUGAGACCUGAUGCCGAGCCGAUUGUGGUGAAGUGGAUGAUCCUAUGCUGUCGAGAAAAGCCUCUAGCGAGUUUCAUGGCGGCCCGUACCCUAAACCGACUCAGGUGGUCAGGUAGAGAAUACCGAGGCGUUCGGGUGAACUAUGGUUAAGGAACUCGGCAAAAUGCCCCCGUAACUUCGGGAGAAGGGGGGCCACAACCGGUGAUCCAAUUUACUUGGUGAGCUGGGGGUGGCCGCAGAGACCAGCGAGAAGCGACUGUUUACUAAAAACACAGGUCCGUGCGAAGCCGUAAGGCGAUGUAUACGGACUGACGCCUGCCCGGUGCUGGAACGUUAAGGGGACCGGUUAGCUUGGAUUCGUCCAGGCGAAGCUGAGAACUUAAGCGCCAGUAAACGGCGGUGGUAACUAUAACCAUCCUAAGGUAGCGAAAUUCCUUGUCGGGUAAGUUCCGACCUGCACGAAUGGCGUAACGACUUCUCGACUGUCUCAACCAUAGGCCCGGUGAAAUUGCACUACGAGUAAAGAUGCUCGUUUCGCGCAGCAGGACGGAAAGACCCCGGGACCUUUACUACAGUUUGAUAUUGGUGUUCGGUUCGGCUUGUGUAGGAUAGCUGGGAGACUGUGAACUCUGGACGCCAGUUCAGGGGGAGUCGUCGUUGAAAUACCAGUCUGGUCGUGCUGGAUGUCUAACCUGGGUCCGUGAUCCGGAUCAGGGACAGUGUCUGAUGGGUAGUUUAACUGGGGCGGUUGCCUCCUAAAGAGUAACGGAGGCGCCCAAAGGUUCCCUCAGCCUGGUUGGCAAUCAGGUGUUGAGUGUAAGUGCACAAGGGAGCUUGACUGUGAGACCGACGGGUCGAGCAGGGACGAAAGUCGGGACUAGUGAUCCGGCGGUGGCUUGUGGAAGCGCCGUCGCUCAACGGAUAAAAGGUACCCCGGGGAUAACAGGCUGAUCUUCCCCAAGAGUCCAUAUCGACGGGAUGGUUUGGCACCUCGAUGUCGGCUCGUCGCAUCCUGGGGCUGGAGUCGGUCCCAAGGGUUGGGCUGUUCGCCCAUUAAAGCGGUACGCGAGCUGGGUUUAGAACGUCGUGAGACAGUUCGGUCCCUAUCCGCUGUGCGCGUAGGAGUCUUGAGAAGGGCUGUCCCUAGUACGAGAGGACCGGGACGGACGAACCUCUGGUGUGCCAGUUGUCCUGCCAAGGGCAUGGCUGGUUGGCUACGUUCGGGAGGGAUAACCGCUGAAAGCAUCUAAGCGGGAAGCCUGCUUCGAGAUGAGGACUCCCACCCACUUGAUGGGGUAAGGCUCCCAGUAGACGACUGGGUUGAUAGGCCGGAUCUGGAAGCCAGGUAACUGGUGGAGGUGACCGGUACUAAUAGGCCGAGGGCUUGUCCUCAGUUG
rnacentral:rRNA from 2 species